UACUGGAUUUGAACUUUGAACCGCUUGUACUACAUGGCAGUUUUUUCAGUGUGAACUGAAGCCUCGAAGACGCAGGACAGUUGUGUGGUGUUGUGUACAGGCUGAAUUGAGGUGGCGGGGCUCAGGCCUGAGCCAAUGUUCCACCAUUGCUGGAGCGGACUUGGAGGUUCCAAUUCAAAGUGGCAGAACGAGGGCAAGGCAGAGUCAAGGUGGCGAGGCCUGGGCCCGUGAGCCGAUGUUUGACCGAUUUAACUGCUGGGCCAGAUUGGAAAGACCAGCAAAAUCCAUCCGAGUUCUCCCAAGUGCAACUGCCUACUAUUCACAAAUUCCACAGAUGUUGAUCUACAGGCAAGGGAGUUUCAGUUUGGACAGGGGUGCUAGAUUCGAGUAGGUUAUCCUUGAAAUGCAUCAGAAGUCCUGCGAGGAUCAAAGCUCAGAGGGCUGAUAGAGUUGGUACAGACUGGGUGAAGUCAGCGAUGAACAGAUAUUUUGAUUGCAAAGUACUGCAGAUUACGUGCAUUGUCCACACACUGUGAGAGUAUAACUUCCCGGGAAAUCAUGAACUCAGAGCAUGACAUUGCAGAUUGGGAUCCCUUGGUGCACUACCAUACACUGAUCCAAUCCAGGGAUGUGACUGAAAAGCAAAUAAAAAACAUGCCAGUGCUGGAAAUCUGAAGUAAGAACAAAACUACUCUAAAU